rnacentral:rRNA from 1 species
UACGUAGGUGGCAAGCGUUGUCCGGAUUUACUGGGCGUAAAGAGCGCGCAGGCGGUCGUUCAAGUCGCGUGUGAAAGCCCCCGGCUCAACUGGGGAGGGUCACGCGAUACUGAUCGACUCGAAGGCAGGAGAGGGAAGUGGAAUUCCCGGUGUAGUGGUGAAAUGCGUAGAUAUCGGGAGGAACACCAGUGGCGAAGGCGACUUCCUGGCCUGUUCUUGACGCUGAGGCGCGAAAGCUAGGGGAGCAAACAGG